rfam:Schistosoma mansoni, Puerto Rico, WGS project CABG01000000 data, contig: 0071
AUCCAACUGACGAGUCCCAGAUAAGAGGAAACGCACAUCCUGUAU